rnacentral:lncRNA from 10 species
CCAGAGACAGUCACAGAGGAACAAGAUCAAGAUGCGCUUUAACUGAGAAGCCCCCAAGGCAGAGGCUGAGAAUCAGAAGACAUUUCAGCAGAAACAUACAUAUGAUAGUUGAGAAAGACACAUAUUCUGAUCAUGAAGAAAUAAACACAAGUUAAAUAUGACUAAGCAGAAAGAUGGAAGGACCAGGAACGGUGAUGCUAACUUGGAACCACGAUGCAGGCUCUAAUCUCCUCUACAAUCAUCCUCCCUUGUGAGAAAAAUACAUAAGAUCUAAGGCACAUGAGAUGAUACGCUUUCUGUUUGAGUUUCUCCUUUAUGUUACGCAUACUGAUAAAAUUGUUGACGCCAGUUGAUCUGAAGGUCCCAGCAAGGAGCCGACUCACAGAAGAAUGCAGUUUUCACAUUGUGAUGAUUUAAUCUUCCUUGACCUGAGCAAUUGACAACCCCAAUUCUCCAGAACCUCACCCGCCACAAUCCCCUUAAAAACCCUGGUCCAGAACCCCUCAAGCAGACAGAUUUGAAGCUUGAGGAUUCCUUCAUCUCUUUGCCCAAUGGCAUUGUGAUUAUUAAACUCU